rnacentral:rRNA from 1 species
UGGGGAAUAUUGCACAAUGGGCGCAAGCCUGAUGCAGCCAUGCCGCGUGUAUGAAGAAGGCCUUCGGGUUGUAAAGUACUUUCAGCGGGGAGGAAGGGAGUAAAGUUAAUACCUUUGCUCAUUGACGUUACCCGCAGAAGAAGCACCGGCUAACUCCGUGCCAGCAGCCGCGGUAAUACGGAGGGUGCAAGCGUUAAUCGGAAUUACUGGGCGUAAAGCGCACGCAGGCGGUCUGUCAAGUCGGAUGUGAAAUCCCCGGGCUCAACCUGGGAACUGCAUUCGAAACUGGCAGGCUAGAGUCUUGUAGAGGGGGGUAGAAUUCCAGGUGUAGCGGUGAAAUGCGUAGAGAUCUGGAGGAAUACCGGUGGCGAAGGCGGCCCCCUGGACAAAGACUGACGCUCAGGUGCGAAAGGGUGGGGAGCAAACAGG